GCACGUGAGUGGUUUUGGAUCCGGUAGCCGCGGCGGUCUCCCUGCCCUCGUGCAGCCAGUCGCCGAUGCUAUCGUCUUGUCAUUAUGGUCCCGGGCAACCGGUGGCUCACUCGUCGCCUGUGUAUGAAACCCGAAUAGCGAUGGGGCAAUGCCAUGUCGUCGACGAUGCCUAUGGCCAGCCUUCGUCGYCCUUUUGCUGGGCUGGCGAAGGGUGGCACCCGAACUGGAACGGAAUUCGAUCCCCUAGCGCGACAGCCUCCCUUGUGAUGGCUGCACGUCCCUACGGGGCAUCGGCCGGUCCAGAGGGCUUACGGAUGCGGUGGACGCUAACGGGCCUCGUGGACAUUCGUGUCCUCGGCCCAGACCCGAACGGUUUUCUUAUCGGCCGCUCUCGAUGACACGACGUCCGGCCCUCCGGUGCCUUGCGCUUCCCUGCGUUGCGCUCGUCCCGGGGGCGUCCGGCGUCGCGGAGGACGUGCUACCUGGUUGAUCCUGCCAGUAGUCAUAUGCUUGUCUCAAAGAUUAAGCCAUGCAUGUGUAAGUAUGAAC
rnacentral:misc_RNA from 1 species